UAUCCUUGGACUACUUUAACACUUAAAAUAGAUAGUCCAGUCUUGGACGGAUCGAGUAUAUCAUUAUGAUGUACAAGUCAAUGAUGAUAGUCAUAGUGAGUCCGCGAUGAGUCGCCCACUGCUGUGCAUCUAGCCCUCAGCACGAUCGUAAUGCAUCAUAUAAGAUGAUAAAAUUUUGGUAAACAACAAGGAAAGAGGUGAAUGCACCGAGAUUUGCCUAGGAUAAAACACUAUGUUAAUGUUGUUAGAUGAUACUCGCUUGACGACCAUCUCCCGUCCUAGCACUCGAUCGAAUCAUCCAUCGUUAGGUUCAUCGACCAGCAUCACUUUGAGAUCAAUUCGGUUCUUGUCCUCCACAUCACGUGAUCAACUAGUGUACCUAAUGAAAUGUGUGAUGCACAUGAACGAAUGCAGAUAAAAAUAGCACAAGAUAGGUAAUAUUACCCGAAGUAUAUCAAACGCUUAUAGCAAGGCAUCACAAUUCUAAUACGAAAACACUAAAUACUUUUAACUCUCUAACACAACAAUCUUGAUCUUCCAGGUACUCGGACCUAAUUCAAACAUCUGGCAACAACAGCCAUACAUACGUUCUAUGCCCUCCUUAGCUAAAGAAUAACACCGAACAUUAACAAAACAUAUAUUCAUUAAUCUAGGAUACCUAGGACUUAGAAUAACAAACAAUAGCAUGUCAAGUAACUUUAGAAUUACUCCACUAAACUAUUAUGCAUAGCAUACCAACUAAACAAGCAUCGCAUCAUCACAUAUGAUCGAAUUUCCCCAAGACUAUACAAUAUAAAAAUAAACAUUUGCUAACAAGGUAACACAACACUCAUAAACAAAUACUAGAUGUUGACAUAACACUAAGAAUAAUAUCAACUUUAUUCUAACUUAACCGGAUCCGAUUCAAAAAGCAAGUAUCAAUAAACCAUGCAUAAGCACUCUACCUUGCUUAGACAUACACCAAUAGACUAGUAGAACUUAGGGUCAUUAUUCCUAGGCACCUAAAAGUUAUAAUAAGGGUAGGAACAUUCUAUCUAACUUUCUAUACCACUUUCCGAAUUAACUUGCAUAGGACACCAACUAACACAACAUCACUUUUCUUUCAAUCAAACAAGUAGAGCACUAUCGCACAACAUAGAGUUCCAUGGAACUACAUUCUCAACAACUAAAGAUCUAAAGCAUAAAAGAUGUAAUAGAGGAAGUGCUCCAUAAUUUCAUUAGCUAGAGCAUAACAUCGAUAGGUUACUUAGACUUGUCACCUUUGAACACUCAAAACUUAGAAUGGUGAUAUAACUCAUUUACUAACUUUCUAAAAUAUUUCUGUAGGCUAACUUGUAUAAUACUUUGACUUACUAACUUUGGAUAUAAAAAAUUUAGGAUAAGGAUGAAAGCAAUGCAAUUAACCAUUUAAUCCAACAAGACCUAGAGCAAGUAUCAAUAAAGCAAUACACCGUACUCAAACAACAAGGCAUUUCAUCAAAUGUUUACUUACAUACGCAUAAGAACAUAGGUAAAGCUAAUUCCAAGUAACAAGUAUCAUGAUCACAUCUACUUGAAUAACCCACUCCCCAAACAAAAACCCAAGCAAUGGUAUGAGAAGGCCUAGAGAUCCACAAAUCCAUAAUGCCACCUUCUGCUUACAAUCUGUUUGAAAAAGAUAACACGUAGAUAACAUGGACAUGAUAAAGUCAAAAUGACAAAAGACAAAUGAAUCAUAAGUAAAUAUCCACCCUCCAUGAUUAACUUAAGUGAAUAACAUAGAAGAUGAUAUUUUCUAAGAAAAAGCAUUCAUGUCACCAUACAAUAGAAAUUUACAUAAGUAACACUAAUAGUUCUUAUCGACAAAGUGCUAGAAGUACUAUACAUAUUCUUUGUAUUACUAAUUUAACCAUACCUCUUGUAAGUCUAGCAAUGUACUAACUAGAUAGGAAUGUCACAUUCUUUGAUUUAGUAACUAGAGUAUUACCAAAUAUUGCAUAACUCUACCGACUACACUUUUAGAAGCAAAAGACCUAAAGUGCCUACAUGCUAAACAUAAGUGGGCUAAGAAGACAAUACAAAUAGCUUAAACUAUAUUGCUAAUGAAUUAUAUUAUACAAACAUAAGGUCUAUUCACUCUUGCUUCAUUGAUAUAUUCACUUAAAUACUCCUCAAAAAACAGUCAUUUUAAACCUAAGUUUUACAUGUUGCGACUACUCCAUAUUUAUUAACACGAUCACAUCAAUGCAAGAAAUGAGGCUUCUCAACCAUAACUAUUAGUCUACCCAAACUCAUUACAUUCAACAUAUCAUCACAAAAACAAGGAAAUGAUAGGAAAGGUCGUUCCUUGCAUGACACUAUGAAACAUCAUCUAGACAAUAGCAAGGAGUCUAGAAAUCAAUACCGCAACACACCUGCUUUACAAAUAAAAUAAACAUCAUAGGUAGAACAUCUAUCCAAUCAACCAUUCAUGCUAACUAACGAGGAUAGCAAAGGAGCUCACCAUAACUAAAUCAGACUACGGAAACGACGACGAUUUCGAUUCAACCAUUACGUCGAGCACCAGGUGUGCGAUGCGCUGGAGCUUCUUUUCUUCUUCUCCACCCAACCAUCCCAGGAGUUGCUCCUCUACAAUAACACAUGCAUACACACAAUUAACCAUGAGGUACUACCGAUGACAAGGAAAUAAUAGAGCACAUAUAUAGACCUCACCGACGACAUACAGAAUGACGACAAAUCUGUCAGCAAGGAGGGUCAAACUCGACCAGAGAACAUGGCGAGUCCAGUAACCUAUUUGUUGUGUAGAGAGAGAAGACUAGGGUGCUGACGAAUAUGAAGACAGAGAAAGGGCAUCAACGAGAUGGUGAGCGAUGAUGGCUUGGCAAAGCCAAGCCCACGAUGAUGAUC
rnacentral:lncRNA from 1 species